UAGAGUUUGAUCAUGGCUCAGAUUGAACGCUGGCGGCAUGCUUUACACAUGCAAGUCGAACGGUAACAGGUUAAGCUGACGAGUGGCGAACGGGUGAGUAAUGCAUCGGAACGUGCCCGGUCGUGGGGGAUAACGCAGCGAAAGCUGCGCUAAUACCGCAUACGAUCUGAGGAUGAAAGCGGGGGACCGUAAGGCCUCGCGCGAUCGGAGCGGCCGAUGUCAGAUUAGGUAGUUGGUGGGGUAAAGGCUCACCAAGCCAACGAUCUGUAGCUGGUCUGAGAGGACGACCAGCCACACUGGGACUGAGACACGGCCCAGACUCCUACGGGAGGCAGCAGUGGGGAAUUUUGGACAAUGGGCGCAAGCCUGAUCCAGCAAUGCCGCGUGCAGGAAGAAGGCCUUCGGGUUGUAAACUGCUUUUGUACGGAGCGAAAAGGCUCUCUCUAAUACAGGGGGCUCAUGACGGUACCGUAAGAAUAAGCACCGGCUAACUACGUGCCAGCAGCCGCGGUAAUA
rnacentral:rRNA from 1 species